GGGAGAGUAGCUCAGCUGGUAGAGCAGGGUCUGACAGACCCGAGCGGUGGUUCGAAUCCACCCUUGUUCCU
rnacentral:tRNA from 1 species